rnacentral:rRNA from 1 species
UACGAGUGCCCCGAGCGUUAUCCGGAAUCAUUGGGCGUAAAGGGUGUGUAGGUGGUCAGAUUAGUCUUGUGUUAAAUUCUUCGGCUUAACCGGGGGCAUGCAUAGGAAACGGUCUGACUUGAGGAUGCGAGAGGUGUGUGGAACUCAUGGUGUAGGGGUGAAAUCCGUUGAUAUCAUGGGGAACACCAAAAGCGAAGGCAGCACACUAGGCGCGAUUCCUGACACU